AAUAGAUACCCAGGUAGUCCACGCCGUAAACGAUGAGUGCUAGGUGUUAGGGGGUCCAACCCUUAGUGCCGAAGUUAACACAUUAAGCACUCCGCCUGGGGAGUACGGUCGCAAGACUGAAACUCAAAGGAAUUGACGGGGGCCCGCACAAGCGGUGGAGCAUGUGGUUUAAUUCGAAGCAACGCGAAGAACCUUACCAGGGCUUGACAUCCCUCUGACCGUUCUAGAGAUAGAGCUUCCCUUCGGGGCAGAGGUGACAGGUGGUGCAUGGUUGUCGUCAGCUCGUGUCGUGAGAUGUUGGGUUAAGUCCCGCAACGAGCGCAACCCUUGUCCUUAGUUGCCAGCAUUCAGUUGGGCACUCUAGGGAGACUGCCGGUGACAAACCGGAGGAAGGUGGGGAUGACGUCAAAUCAUCAUGCCCCUUAUGUCCUGGGCUACACACGUGCUACAAUGGCUGGUACAAAGGGUAGCAAAGCAGUGAUGUGGAGCCAAUCCCAAAAAGCCAGUCACAGUUCGGAUUGUAGGCUGC
rnacentral:rRNA from 1 species